UCAAUGGGCGAAAGCCUGAACCAGCCAUGCCGCGUGAAGGAUGACAGCCCUAUGGGUUGUAAACUUCUUUUGUACGGGAAGAAACGCUUCUACGUGUAGAGGUUUGACGGUACCGUACGAAUAAGCAUCGGCUAACUCCGUGCCAGCAGCCGCGGUAAUACGGAGGAUGCAAGCGUUAUCCGGAUUUAUUGGGUUUAAAGGGUACGUAGGCGGGAGCUUAAGUCAGUGGUGAAAUCCUGCAGCUUAACUGUAGAACUGUCAUUGAUACUGGGCUUCUUGAAUGUAGUUGAGGUAGGCGGAAUGUGUAAUGUAGCGGUGAAAUGCUUAGAUAUUACACAGAACACCGAUUGCGAAGGCAGCUUACUAAACUACGAUUGACGCUGAGGUACGAAAGCGUGGGGAGCGAACAGGAUUAGAUACCCUGGUAGUCCACGCUGUAAACGAUGAUCACUCGUUGUUGGCAAUACACCGUCAGCGACUGAGCGAAAGCAUUAAGUGAUCCACCUGGGGAGUACGACCGCAAGGUUGAAACUCAAAGGAAUUGACGGGGGCCCGCACAAGCGGAGGAACAUGUGGUUUAAUUCGAUGAUACGCGAGGAACCUUACCUGGGCUUAAAUGUAGAACGACGGACCGGGAAACUGGUCUUUCUUCGGACGGUCUGCAAGGUGCUGCAUGGCUGUCGUCAGCUCGUGCCGUGAGGUGUCGGGUUAAGUCCCAUAACGAGCGCAACCCUCAUCAUUAGUUGCCAGCGGGUAAUGCCGGGGACUCUAAUGAAACUGCCGGUGUAAACCGAGAGGAAGGUGGGGAUGACGUCAAGUCAGCACGGCCCUUAUGUCCAGGGCUACACACGUGUUACAAUGGUCGGUACAAAGGGCAGCUACCUGGCGACAGGAUGCUAAUCUCGAAAACCGAUCUCAGUUCGGAUCGAAGUCUGCAACUCGACUUCGUGAAGCUGGAUUCGCUAGUAAUCGCGCAUCAGCCAUGGCGCGGUGAAUACGUUCCCGGGCAUUGUACACACCGCCCGUCAAGCCAUGGAGCUGGGGUACCUGAAGUC
rnacentral:rRNA from 1 species